rnacentral:tRNA from 1 species
GUCUUCGUGGUGUAGUGGUCAGCAUACUGGAUGCAUAACCUAGAGGUCCAUGGUUCGAUUCCUGGUGAAGUUG